rnacentral:tRNA from 1 species
UAGAAAGUGGUGUAGUGGAAGCACUUAGAGUUUUGAUCUCUAGAAUAUGGGUUCGAGUCCCUUCUUUCUAG